CCCUCUCCCGAUUUCAAUGUUGUUAGGCACUACAAUACUGUUUAAUUCCAACAUCAUAUGUUAAAUUUCAACCGCCUGUGCCACAGUUGCGGUGCUAGUGUCACCUUAUGUUCGUUUUGGAUAAGUACAGUAGGUUUCAACAUUGAAAUAAGGGGGGAGGGGAUUGAUUUAAAAAGUCUCAAUAUAUUUUGUGGACGAUUGUAGGUACUAAUAGGUUGGAACAAGACCUCAGAUCAUAAGUUUGAAGAUUUUUAGGCGGUACUAAGGCAUUCAGUUUAUGAGUG